rnacentral:rRNA from 1 species
AGUGAACGCUGGCGGUAGGCCUAACACAUGCAAGCCGAACGGCAGCACAGUAAGAGCUUGCUCUUACGGGUGGCGAGUGGCGGACGGGUGAGGCAUACAUCGGAAUCUACUUUUUCGUGGGGGAUAACGUAGGGAAACUUACGCUAAUACCGCAUACGACCUACGGGUGAAAGCAGGGGAUCUUCGGACCUUGCGCGAUUCAAUGAGCCGAUGCCGGAUUAGCUAGGUGGGGGGGUAAAGGCCCACCAAGGCGACGAUCCGUAGCUGGUCGGAGCGGGUGAAUCGCCACACUGGGACAUAGACACCGUCCCGACUCCAAAGGGGGGCAGGAGGGGGGAAUCUUGAGAAAUGGGGGGAAACCUGACGCCGCCAAGCCGGGUGGGGGAAAAAGGGCUUGCGGUUUGAAAACCCUUUUUUUUGGGAAAAAAAAAUGUGAGGUUAAAUCCGCGCUUUUUGACGGUACCCAAAAAGAAAGCCACGGCUAACUUCGUG